GAACACAGUGAUGACUCAGGAAAUUCAAGCUCAACAGACCGGAAUGCAGGCCUCUCUUUUUCUAGAGAGCUUUGCGUGUCGACCUUCCCGCUGACCUGAGUGUUC